rfam:Triticum urartu cultivar G1812 contig825156, whole genome shotgun sequence.
GUCCCUUCAGGGACAUUCGAUAAAAUUGGAAUGAUACAGAGAAGAUUAGCAUGGCCCCUGCACAAGGAUGACACGCACAAAUCGAGAAAUGGUCCAAAUUUUU